rnacentral:rRNA from 1 species
UUACGCUGUUAUCCCUAAGGUAAUUUAGUCUUAUAAUCAACAAAAAUGGAUCAAAUAUAUAUAAAUAAAUAUAAAAAAAUAAAAAGAGUUAAUUUAAUCUUUCCAUCACCCCAACAAAAUAAAUUUUCAAAUUAAAAAAAUAUCAUACAAAAAAAUAAAAAAAUAUAUAUAAACUCUAUAGGGUCUUCUCGUCCCAAAAAAAUAUUUAGGCAUUUUAACCUAAAAUUUAAAUUCAAUAAAUAAAUUAAAGACAGUUUACACCUCGUCAAACCAUUCAUUCCAGCCUACAAUUAAAAGACUAAUGAUUAUGCUACCUUUGCACGGUCAAAAUACCGCGGCCCUUCAAUACUCAGUGGGCAGGCCAUACAUCAAAAUAUAUUCAAGAAGAGAUGUUUUUGAUAAACAGGCG